UUGAUCCGCUUAGAGAAACGGACCUCCAUUUUGCAUUGCAUAGAAACGCGCUUAGAGAAACGGACCUCCAUCUUGCAUUGCAUAGAAACGUAAUCCACACUGCAGUUGUGGUAUAGAUAGCUACGAUGCCACGGCGUAGGUGCAAGUUCUUAGGUUGGCACUACGACACCGACACCGACACCGACGACAGUGCCCUCUAGCCGGCGCUGUGCAGAUCUACGAGCUCCGCUCCAGACUCAGCCCAUUUGUUUCUACUUCAUAGGCGGUUAGCAAUUACAGACUGUGUUA